rnacentral:rRNA from 1 species
UACGUAGGGCGCGAGCGUUGUCCGGAAUUAUUGGGCGUAAAGAGCUCGUAGGUGGCUUGUCGCGUCUGCCGUGAAAGCCCGUGGCUUAACUGCGGGUCUGCGGUGGAUACGGGCAGGCUAGAGGCUGGUAGGGGCAAGUGGAAUUCCUGGUGUAGCGGUGAAAUGCGCAGAUAUCAGGAGGAACACCGGUGGCGAAGGCGGCUUGCUGGGCCAGUUCUGACGCUGAGGAGCGAAAGCGUGGGGAGCGAACAGG